rnacentral:rRNA from 1 species
GGGGGAUAUUGCACAAUGGGGGGAACCCUGAUGCAGCGACGCCGCGUGAGUGAAGAAGUAAUUCGUUAUGUAAAGCUCUAUCAGCAGGGGAAGAAUAUAUGACGGUACCUGAGUAAGAAGCCCCGGCUAACUAC